rnacentral:rRNA from 1 species
UACGUAGGGGGCAAGCGUUAUCCGGAUUUACUGGGUGUAAAGGGAGCGUAGACGGCUGUGCAAGUCUGAAGUGAAAGGCAAGGGCUCAACCUUUGGACUGCUUUGGAAACUGUGCAGCUAGAGUGUCGGAGAGGCAAGUGGAAUUCCUAGUGUAGCGGUGAAAUGCGUAGAUAUUAGGAGGAACACCAGUGGCGAAGGCGGAUUGCUGGACAGUAACUGACGCUGAGGCGCGAAAGCGUGGGGAGCAAACAGG